GGAAGUGAAAGAAUUUGCCAACCACAUUUUGUACACAUAUAUUUAUCCUGGAAAAUUAACUCGGAUUAUAGCCCGUAUGCCCAAUCUCUCCUCUCCCAGUUCUCCCUCUCACUGAAUAAUGAAAAGACCAUGUUUCACCAUUCACUUUUACGGCCGCGCAAUUCCGAGGUUCAGUCGUCACGCCGUUCAGUACUGCUAUCGACUAUUAAGAAACUGGACCCACUACUUUUGUAUCCCCCCUGGCGCAUUAACCAUCUGUGGAGGGGGUUUGGCGUUAUAAUGUGCUGAUGAGAACCGUCAAUUGUAUAAUUUCCUUCCUUUCUUUCUCCCUAAACAUCAAAGACACCAAAUGCCUCUUUAUUUAUAUUUUGAGGUUUCAUCGUAGCCAUCAAUGUUCAGUUGAAGGAUCCUGGUCCAUGGUAAAGUUUUUCAAUUCCUCGCAUAUCUCUACCUCCUCUUGCCCUAUUUUCAGAUAGAAAUCAUGGUGAACGGGAUCCAUGUAGUUUACUGUGUAGGGGAAGAAAAUAGAAAAGAAGAGUCUGAUAGCAACAUCAACCAAGGGGUGGACGAAAAAAA